GGGCUCGUGGCCUAGAAUGGACUAAGGCAUCGGCCUUCGGAGCCGAAGAUCGUGGGUUCAAGUCCCACCGAGCCCG
rnacentral:tRNA from 1 species